rnacentral:rRNA from 1 species
GACGAACGCUGGCGGCGUGCUUAACACAUGCAAGUCGAACGGAAAGGCCCUGCUUUUGUGGGGUGCUCGAGUGGCGAACGGGUGAGUAACACGUGAGUAACCUGCCCUUGACUUUGGGAUAACUUCAGGAAACUGGGGCUAAUACCGGAUAGGAGCUCCUGCUGCAUGGUGGGGGUUGGAAAGUUUCGGCGGUUGGGGAUGGACUCGCGGCUUAUCAGCUUGUUGGUGUGGUAGUGGCUUACCAAGGCUUUGACGGGUAGCCGGCCUGCGAGGGUGACCGGCCACAUUGGGCCUGAGAUACGGCCCAGCCUCCUACGGGACGCAGCAGUGGAGAAUAUUGCACAAUGGGCGGAAGCCUGAUGCAGCAACGCCGCGUGCGGGAUGACGGCCUUCGGGUUGUAAACCGCUUUCGCCUGUGACGAAGCGUGAGUGACGGUAAUGGGUAAAGAAGCACCGGCUAACUACGUG